rnacentral:rRNA from 1 species
CCUGAACGCUGGCGGCGUGGCUAAGACAUGCAAGUCGAACGGGUGUAGCAAUACACCAGUGGCGGACGGGUGAGUAAUGUAUCGCUAACGUGCCCUGGAAUCUGAGAUAGCCAAUCGAAAGGUUGGGUAAUACCAGAUGAAAUAUCCUUAUCGCAUGAUGAGGAUCUCAAAGGAGCAAUCCGGUCUGGGGAGCGGGCGAUAUCGUAUCAGCUAGUUGGUGAGGUAACGGCUCACCAAGGCGACGACGCGUAGCCGGGCUGAGAGGUCGGCCGGCCACAUUGGGACUGAGACACUGCCCAGACUCCUACGGGGGGCUGCAGUAACGAAUCUUCCGCAAUGCACGAAAGCGUGACGGAGCGACGCCGCGUGUAGGA